rnacentral:rRNA from 1 species
GACGAACGCUGGCGGCGUGCCUAAUACAUGCAAGUAGGACGCACAGUCUAUACCGUAGCUUGCUACACCAUAGGCUGUGAGUUGCGAACGGGUGAGUAACGCGUAGGUAACCUGCCUAUUAGAGGGGGAUAACUAUUGGAAACGAUAGCUAAUACCGCAUAAUAGUAUGUAACACAUGUUAGAUGCUUGAAAGAUGCAAUUGCAUCGCUAGUAGAUGGACCUGCGUUGUAUUAGCUAGUAGGUAGGGUAAAGGCCUACCUAGGCAACGAUACAUAGCCAACCUGAGAGGGUGAUCGGCCACACUGGGACUGAGACACGGCCCAGACUCCUACGGGAGGCAGCAGUAGGGAAUCUUCGGCAAUGGGGGGAACCCUGACCGAGCAACGCCGCGUGAGUGAAGAAGGCUUUCGGAUCGUAAAGCUCUGUUGUUAAGGAAGAAUGAGUGUGAGAAUGGAAAGUUCAUACUGUGACGGUACUUAACCAGAAAGGGACGGCUAACUACGUGC